GACGAACGCUGGCGGCGUGCUUAACACAUGCAAGUCGAACGAAGUGGCGAACUGGUGAGUAAUACGUGGGUAACCUGCCCUCCUUUUUGGGAUAAGCCUUGGAAACGGGGUCUAAUACCCCAUAACGGGGGAUGGGCUCGCGGCCUCUCAGCUUGUUGGUGGGGUGAUGGCCUACCAAGGCGGUGACGGGUAGCCGGCCUGAGAGGGUGAACGGAGACAUUGGGACUGCGAUACGGCCCAGAGGCCUACGGAAGGGAGAAGUGGGGGAUAUGGCAGAAUGGGCGAAAGCGUGAUGCAGCGAGGACGCGUGGGGGAUGAAGGCUUUCGGGUUGUAAAACUCGUGAGCAAUCGAACGGGGAGAUGGAGAAGAAGCGCCGGCUAACUACGUGCAAGCAGCCGCGGUAAUAC
rnacentral:rRNA from 1 species